GUCCCUUACGAAUUUGAAUAUAUCCUAAUACCUUUCGUUCUAUUAAAGUUAAAAAAGCUACUCCGACUAAUACACAAACUAUUAAAAUUAAUAAAGUUAAAAAUAUUAAAAAUAUAUCUUUUAUUAUUAUUUGUAUAAAUACUAUACAUUUAAAGAUUCUAAAUCCAUCGCACUAUUCUGCCAAAAUAAUAAUUUUAUUCAAAUAAUAAAUUAUUAACUAAAAUUUUGGUCCUUUCGUACUAAAAACUUUUAACUUUAUAAAGAUAGAAACCAACCUGGCUUACACCGGUUUAAACUCAGAUCAUGUAAAGUUUUAAUGGUCGAACAGACCAAAUAUUUUAGCUUCUACACCAAAUAUUAACUUUAAUCCAACAUCGAGGUCGCAAUCUCUUUUUUCGAUUUGAACUCUAAAAAAAAAUAACGCUGUUAUCCCUAAGGUAAUUUAAUCUUUUAAUCAUUUUUAUGGAUCAUUUAAUCAUAAAUCAAUGGUUUUAUAAAAAAAAAGUUAUAUUAAUUUUUCAAUCACCCCAAUCAAAUUAUAAAAAAAAUUUAAAUUUAAAAUUCUAAAAUUUAUAAAUAAUAAUAUAUAAUAAAACUCUAUAGGGUCUUCUCGUCUAUUAUAAAUAUUUAAGCUUUUUAACUUAAAAAUAAAGUUUUUUAAAAAAUUAAUCAUAGAAAGUUAUUUUCUCAUCAAACCAUUCAUACAAGCUUUCAAUUAAAAAACUAAUGAUUAUGCUACCUUUGCACAGUCAAAAUACUGCGGCCCUUCAAAAUUCAGUGGGCAGGCCCUACUUUAAAUUAUAUUCAAAAAGAGAUGUUUUUGUAAAACAGGCGA
rnacentral:rRNA from 1 species